rnacentral:tRNA from 1 species
GCUUUCGUAGUGUAGUGGUCAGCACGCUUGACGGGUAAUCGAGAGGUCUAUGGUUCGAAUCCCGGAGAAAGCA